rnacentral:rRNA from 1 species
UACGUAGGGCGCGAGCGUUGUCCGGAAUUAUUGGGCGUAAAGAGCUCGUAGGCGGUUUGUCGCGUCGGUUGUGAAAACCCAAGGCUCAACCUUGGGCCUGCAAUCGAUACGGGCAGACUAGAGUACUGCAGGGGAGACUGGAAUUCCUGGUGUAGCGGUGGAAUGCGCAGAUAUCAGGAGGAACACCGGUGGCGAAGGCGGGUCUCUGGGCAGUAACUGACG